rnacentral:rRNA from 1 species
GACGAACGCUGGCGGCGUGCUUAACACAUGCAAGUCGAACGGAAAGGCCCUGCUUUUGUGGGGUGCUCGAGUGGCGAACGGGUGAGUAACACGUGAGUAACCUGCCCUUGACUUUGGGAUAACUUCAGGAAACUGGGGCUAAUACCGGAUAGGAGCUCCUGCUGCAUGGUGGGGGUUGGAAAGUUUCGGCGGUUGGGGAUGGACUCGCGGCUUAUCAGCUUGUUGGUGGGGUAGUGGCUUACCAAGGCUUUGACGGGUAGCCGGCCUGAGAGGGUGACCGGGCAACUUGGGACUGGGGUACGGCCCAGACUCCUACGGGAGGCAGGAGUGGGGAAUAUUGCACAAUGGGCGGAAGGCUGAUGCAGCAACGCCGCGUGCGGGAUGACGGGCUUCGGGUUGUAAACCGCUUUCGGCUGUGACGGAGCGUGAGUGACGGUAAUGGGUAAAGAAGCACCGGCUAACUACGUG